rnacentral:lncRNA from 1 species
CUAAGGAUGCCAAUGUGAUACAGCAGAGGAGAUGAGGUCACACUCCAUGGGGAGAUGGUCACAUAAAGCUUCUUAGAAAAUGAUUCAUCCAGUGUCGUAGCACAGAGGUGCAGAGGCAGAGAAUGUUGUGAGACACAUGUCAUGCAGUACUUGGUACCAGAGGCUGCAGAGAAGGAAAGAAACAGCUGCCCUUAACCUAGCUCUCCUUUCCACUAAUUCUUACCGUGGUGGUGAUGUGGUGAGAACCAGAUGUCCUACAUGUAAGGGGAUCUGCUGUAGGCAAAGAACUCUGGAAAAAAGAACCUGAGCGUUUUUGUGGAAGAGUGACCCAGUUGCUCUUGACCCCCUUCUGAGUGUGUCUCCAUAGUCACAAAACGGAAAAAAAACUGAGUUCUUACUUUAACCAUUUGGAUAAAAAUAAAUCUCUCUAGGGGAAAGAUAACACUAGAGUCUCCAGCUUUGUAACUUCUGGGAUGCAUCUACUGGGUCUCAUCUUCUCUUGAAAUGUAAAUAUAUAUCCCUAGUGAGGUAAAUCCCUCAGGAUGGCCCCUAACCAUGUUCUUUCUGUGAAUUAAUUUCCAGAGCUAGUUCUUAGCGUAGAGCAGAAGUCUGAGUAAAAUUUGUUGAGAAAGUUCUUACUAUGCAUAAAUAACUUUAUUUACAGCCUAACACUAUCCAUUAAAAUCAACAAGAGAAAGACAAACUAAUCCAAAAUGACCCUGCAAUCGGGGCUCUAAAACAAUGCAGGUUGACUGUAAUUGUUAAAAUGAAUUUGGAAAGUAUUUGACCUUAUCUGUUAAAAUUAAGUAUAUGCAUACCCUGUGACCAAUAAUUCUGCUACUAUCAUCCAACAGGAACACAUAAACAUAUUCAGGAAAUGUACAAAAUUGUUUAUUAAAGAAUUAUUCACAACAGCUUAAAUUGGAAGUUUUGCAGUUAUCCAUCAAGAGUGAAAUAAACACAUCAUAGCAUAUAUAUAAAUACAUGGAGUAUUAUCAAGCAAGAAGGAUAAAUGGUAUACCCAAGAGAGCUUUGAUGACUCUCCCAAAUACAUUUCUGAGUAAGAGAAGCCAUCCAGAAAAGAAUAUAUAUUGUUUAAUUCUAUUAUAAAAGUUCAAAAAUAGGUUAAAAAAGUCUAUGUUAUUAGCAAUCAGAAUAAUAAUUACUUGCAGAUGGAGCAGAUGGUAAUUUAAGGGAAUUUUAUUGUGAAAUAUGUACAAUCACUUUGUUAAAAUUAAUUAACUAUAUACUAUUUGUGUAUUACAAUAAAAAUGUUUAAUAAACUA